CGUAAGGAGAAAGAUUUAUCGCCUUUGGAUUGGCCCGCGUCGGAUUAGCUAGUUGGUGGGGUAAAAGCCUACCAAGGCGACGAUCCGUAGCUGGUUUGAGAGAACGACCAGCCACACUGGGACUGAGACACGGCCCAGACUCCUACGGGAGGCAGCAGUGGGGAAUCUUGGACAAUGGGCGCAAGCCUGAUCCAGCCAUGCCGCGUGGAUGAUGAAGGCCUUAGGGUUGUAAAAUCCUUUCGUGGGGGACGAUAAUGACGGUACCCCAAGAAGAAGCUCCGGCUAACUUCGUGCCAGCAGCCGCGGUAAUACGAAGGGGGCUAGCGUUGUUCGGAUUUACUGGGCGUAAAGCGCGUGUAGGCGGGUCGUUAAGUUGGGGGUGAAAUCCCGAGGCUCAACCUCGGAACUGCCUUCAAAACUGGCGACCUGGACUCAAGUAGAGGCAAGUGGUGCGAGUGUAGAGGUGAAAUUCGUAGAUAUUCGCAGGAACACCAAU
rnacentral:rRNA from 1 species